rnacentral:lncRNA from 1 species
CCCUUCGCGCUGACCAGUGACUGUAAGAACCGUUCCCUCCCCCGGGGCAUCAUCGGCCGGACCCCAGGGCACCCCACCGCAGCAUGCACUCACGCAGUCACCUGGGGCCAGCCGCAAAAGGUCUCCACUCUCGGGCUAAAUGGGAAGGGCUCUAAGGCCCUUAAGGGUAUUCCUCAUGCGGCUGCCCAAGGGUCCCCAGGUGCCUUGUGAGUACACGGGAUCCUCUGUCCAGUGGAGAGGAUGUGGACUAGUAUCCCUUUAUCGUUCCCAUCAACAAAUAUCCCACUGCCACCACCAUCACAACCACCACCAGAGCAAAUACACAUUGACCCUAUACUCCCCUGCCCCUCUAUGAACACACUGGAGGAUCUUUUUAUGGCUAUUUUACUGUGCCUCGCUGUGCUUGAUCCUAAAAACCUCUUGCAUUUUCAUCCUGAACUGCACUUGCAAGGAAGGGGUUUUGUGAAAACCCAGCCGGAGAGAAAACACAGAAGGGACUCCAUUUCCAGAGACUAGCAUCUGCCUAUUGUCAAAUCUGUUCAGAGGUGUUCUGUUGUAGAAUGAGUUCAGGGUGAGUAGCACAAGAAGAGCUGAAAGGGAGAGGCUUUCAGAGUACAUCUCACCUCACGAGGCUAACAACACAACACAACAACAGCCACAACAAAAACAGGGCACUCUUCAAACGGGUCUGUGAUUUACUGCUUAAAUGCUAAUAGUGCCUUCUGGAAGCAAACA